rnacentral:rRNA from 1 species
GACGAACGCUGGCGGCGUGCUUAACACAUGCAAGUCGAGCGGUAAGGCCCUUUCGGGGGUACACGAGCGGCGAACGGGUGAGUAACACGUGGGUGACCUGCCCUUAGCUCUGGGAUAAGCCUGGGAAACUGGGUCUAAUACCGGAUAUGACUCCAUGACGCAUGUUGUGGGGUGGAAAGCCUUGUGCGGCUAGGGAUGGGCCCGCGGCCUAUCAGCUUGUUGGUGGGGUGAUGGCCUACCAAGGCGACGACGGGCAGCCGGCCUGAGAGGGCGACCGGCCACACUGGGACUGAGACACGGCCCAGACUCCUACGGGAGGCAGCAGUGGGGAAUCUUGCGCAAUGGGCGAAAGCCUGACGCAGCGACGCCGCGUGAGGGAUGACGGCC